GGGAGUAACACGUAUCCAACCUGCCGUCUACUCUUGGCCAGCCUUCUGAAAGGAAGAUUAAUCCAGGAUGGCAUCAUGAGUUCACAUGUCCGCAUGAUUAAAGGUAUUUUCCGGUAGACGAUGGGGAUGCGUUCCAUUAGAUAGUAGGCGGGGUAACGGCCCACCUAGUCAACGAUGGAUAGGGGUUCUGAGAGGAAGGUCCCCCACAUUGGAACUGAGACACGGUCCAA
rnacentral:rRNA from 1 species